rnacentral:rRNA from 1 species
UGACGGGGGCCCGCACAAGCGGUGGAGCAUGUGGUUUAAUUCGAAGCAACGCGAAGAACCUUACCAGGUCUUGACAUCCUUUGACCACUCUAGAGAUAGAGCUUCCCCUUCGGGGGCAAAGUGACAGGUGGUGCAUGGUUGUCGUCAGCUCGUGUCGUGAGAUGUUGGGUUAAGUCCCGCAACGAGCGCAACCCUUAUUGUUAGUUGCCAUCAUUCAGUUGGGCACUCUAGCAAGACUGCCGGUGACAAACCGGAGGAAGGUGGGGAUGACGUCAAAUCAUCAUGCCCCUUAUGACCUGGGCUACACACGUGCUACAAUGGGAAGUACAACGAGUUGCGAAGUCGCGAGGCUAAGCUAAUCUCUUAAAGCUUCUCUCAGUUCGGAUUGCAGGCUGCAACUCGCCUGCAUGAAGCCGGAAUCGCUAGUAAUCGCGGAUCAGCACGCCGCGGUGAAUACGUUCCCGGGCCUUGUACACACCGCCCGUCACACCACGAGAGUUUGUAACACCCGAAGUCGGUGAGGUAACCUUUUUGGAGCCAGCCGCCUAAGGUGGGAUAGAUGAUUGGGGUGAAGUCGUAACAAGGUAGCCGUAUCGGAAGGUGCGGCUG